rnacentral:rRNA from 1 species
UACAGAGGUGGCAAGCGUUGUUCGGAAUCACUGGGCGUAGAGGGCGCGUAGGCGGCUUUGUAAGUCGGGGGUGAAAGCCUGUGGCUCAACCACAGAAUUGCCUUCGAUACUGCAUGGCUUGAGACCGGAAGAGGUAAGUGGAACUGCGAGUGUAGAGGUGAAAUUCGUAGAUAUUCGCAAGAACACCAGUGGCGAAGGCGGCUUACUGGACCGGAACUGACGCUGAGGCGCGAAAGCGUGGGGAGCAAACGGG